rnacentral:rRNA from 1 species
UACGUAGGGUGCGAGCGUUAAUCGGAAUUACUGGGCGUAAAGCGUGCGCAGGCGGCGCGUUAAGUCAGGUGUGAAAGCCCCGAGCUUAACUUGGGAAUUGCGCUUGUGACUGGCGUGCUGGAGUGUGGCAGAGGGAGGUGGAAUUCCACGUGUAGCAGUGAAAUGCGUAGAGAUGUGGAGGAACACCGAUGGCGAAGGCAGCCUCCUGGGCCAGCACUGACGCUGAUGCACGAAAGCGUGGGGAGCAAACAGG